UCCAAGUUAUCAGUAUAUAAUAUUUAUAACUUGUAAAACCUAAAAUUUUUAUACUUAAAUUUUAAAAUAAUGCAUUUUUUUUUAAAUUUAAAGCAUCAACAUAAUUAUUUCUUUAGAAAUUAAACCAUAAGUAGAAAGAACACACGAAUCACAUUCAGUUUCUCGAUAUGUCAGAACAUUAAGGUUCUUUAGCAAGAGUUUUUGGGCAUUGCAUUUCAGACCAGCUUAUAGGCACCAUACUUAUUCCUUGAGGUGAACCCUCGGCAGUUGCAAUCACCACUCCAAGUUCAUUUUCCGCAGUAGACAGAUGAUACCAAUGUAUUUCAG